rnacentral:tRNA from 1 species
AGGCCAGUAGCUCCAAUGGCAGAGCGCCGGUCUCCAAAACCGGAAGUUGCAGGUUCGAGUCCUGCCUGGCCUG